AGAACGAACGCUGGCGGCAUGCCUAAUACAUGCAAGUCGAACGAACACUUCGGUGUUAGUGGCGCACGGGUGCGUAACGCGUGGGAAUCUGCCCUUGGGUUCGGAAUAACAGUUGGAAACGACUGCUAAUACCGGAUGAUGACGAAAGUCCAAAGAUUUAUCGCCCAGGGAUGAGCCCGCGUAGGAUUAGCUAGUUGGUGAGGUAAAGGCUCACCAAGCCUUCGAUCUGUAGCUGGUCUGAGAGGACGACCAGCCACACUGGGACUGAGACACGGCCCAGACUCCUACGGGAGGCAGCAGUGGGGAAUUUUGGGACAAUGGGCGAAAGCCUGAUCAGCAUGCCGCGUGCAGGAUGAAGGCCUGGUUGUAACUG
rnacentral:rRNA from 1 species